GAUCAUGGCUCGGGAUGAACGCUAGCUACAGGCUUAACACAUGCAAGUCGAGGGGCAGCAUUUUAGUUUGCUUGCAAACUAAAGAUGGCGACCGGCGCACGGGUGAGUAACACGUAUCCAACCUGCCGAUAACUCUGGGAUAGCCUUUCGAAAGAAAGAUUAAUACCGGAUGGCAUAGGAUUAUCGCAUGAUAAUCCUAUUAAAGAAUUUCGGUUAUCGAUGGGGAUGCGUUCCAUUAGGUAG
rnacentral:rRNA from 1 species